rnacentral:ncRNA from 2 species
CGAAUAGCAAUGGAAAUAGGUAAUCUGAUGUUCAUCAGAUCUUAAAUGGGAAGCCGGUGAUGACUCAAAAGUCCGGCGCGGUCCCGCCACUGUGACAGCUCCAUGCUGAAGCCAGACACCAGCCUAUUUCAACAACGCUGC